rnacentral:rRNA from 1 species
GACAGAGGGGGCAAGCGUUGCUCGGAAUCACUGGGCGUAAAGGGCGCGUAGGCGGGAUGGCAAGUCAGUCGUGAAAUCUCUCGGCUCAACCGAGAAACGUCGGCUGAUACUGCCGUUCUUGAGGGAUGCAGAGGAGACUGGAAUUCCCGGUGUAGCGGUGAAAUGUGUAGAGAUCGGGAGGAACACCGGUGGCGAAGGCGGGUCUCUGGGGCAUUUCCUGACGCUGAGGCGCGAAAGCGUGGGGAGCAAACGGG